GAUGAACGCUAGCGAUAGGCUUAACACAUGCAAGUCGAGGGGCAGCAUGGUCUUAGCUUGCUAAGGCUGAUGGCGACCGGCGCACGGGUGCGUAACGCGUAUGCAACUUGCCUCACAGAGGGGGAUAACCCGUCGAAAGACGGACUAAUACCGCGUACACUCUAUGUUGGGCAUCCAAUGUAGAGGAAAUGAAAUUCGCUGUGAGAUAGGCAUGCGUCCCAUUAGCUAGUUGGUGAGGUAACGGCUCACCAAGGCGACGAUGGGUAGGGGAACUGAGAGGUUGAACCCCCACACUGGUACUGAGACACGGACCAGACUCCUACGGGAGGCAGCAGUGAGGAAUAUUGGUCAAUGGGCGAGGGCCUGAACCAGCCAAGUCGCGUGAAGGAUGACUGUCUUAUGGAUUGUAAACUUCUUUUAUACGGGAAUAACAAGAGUCACGUGUGGCUCCCUGCAUGUACCGUAUGAAUAAGCAUCGGCUAACUCCGUG
rnacentral:rRNA from 1 species